AGAAAAUAAAAGGCCUUCAGCUCCCCAGCUCCCUGGGUUGAAGAAAGCAGUGAGAAGACUCUUUACAAGGCCUUUGAAAGCCCCAACAGCCCCUUUAGUUCUGGAAGCCACAGCAGAAGCUGGGAGGAGCCAGGCAGGUCUGGAGGUGACCCCUCCCGCACAACCCAGCCUCCUCCAGGAAGCCAGGAUGUCUGGCCCACUCAAGCCUGGCUCCACGUCUACACUUGAACUGCUUCCUUUUACCCAGAAGGAACCAGGGAGGCUCAUGAGAAGACUUGCCCUUCUCAGACACCAGUCAAGUUUAAUAGGUGAGAUGUCAGGGAUCCAGCAACGUGACAAGGAAGGUUGAUGAACCAGUGCAAAGCAGCUUGUUCUUAUUGGGCCAAGACUUCUAUUCAUCCACAUAUUUCAAGGGAGAAGGAAUGCAGCAAACAUGUCCAGGGUGACAAGAAGUUCAGGAACCUGUGUGGCCCAGGAGUCUCUAGUGAUAUAGGAACUUCUCGGGUCCAUUUUGAGCUCAGGUAAGGUCUGAAGUCGAAGUGAGAGGCAACGAUGCAGGUGGCUGGGAAAGGCGGGC